GAUGAACGCUGGCGGCGUGCUUAACACAUGCAAGUCGAACGAGGAUUUAACGGAAUGCGAUUCGUCAAAUGAAAUUAAAUCCGAGUGGCGGACGGGUGAGUAACGCGUGGAUAACCUGCCUCACACAGGGGGACAACAGUUGGAAACGACUGCUAAUACCGCAUAAGCCCACGACCCGGCAUCGGGAAGAGGGAAAAGAGCAAUCCGCUUUGAGAUGGCCUCGCGUCCGAUUAGCUAGUUGGUGAGGUAACGGCCCACCAAGGCGACGAUCGGUAGCCGGACUGAGAGGUUGAACGGCCACACUGGAACUGAGACACGGUCCAGACUCCUACGGGAGGCAGCAGUGGGGAAUCUUCCGCAAUGGGCGAAAGCCUGACGGAGCAACGCCGCGUGAGUGAUGACGGCC
rnacentral:rRNA from 1 species